CUCGCCAUGUUGCCCAGACUGGUCUCCAAUUCCUUGGCUCAAGCGAUCCUCCUGCCUCAGUCUCCCAAAGUGCUGGCAUUACAGGUGGGAGCCACGGCACCCAGCUGAGGCUCAUAGGUGGAAGGGAGUUGCCUUGUGUCAGACAAGACUUUGGACUUGAAUUUUGAGUUAAUGCUUGAAUGAGUUAAGACUCUGGGGUACUAUUGGGAAGGCAUGAUUGGUUGUGAAAUAUGAGAAAGACAUGAGAUUUGGGAGGGGCCAGGGGUGGAAUAAUAUGGUUUGUGACUGUGUCCUUACCCAAAUCUCAUGCUGAAUUGUAAACCCCAAUGUUGGGGGAAGGACCUAAUGGGAGGUGACUGAAUCAUUGCUGGGGCAGAUUUCCCCCUUGAUGUUCUCAUGAUAGUGAGUGAGUUCUCAUAAGAUCUGGUUGUUUAAAAAUGUGGCACUUCCCCCUCACUUGCUCUCUCCUGCCACCAUGUGAAGACCUGCUUGCUUUCCCUUCGCCUUUCUGCCAUGACUGUAAGUUUCC
rnacentral:lncRNA from 10 species